AACGAACGCUGGCGGCAGGCUUAACACGUGCAAGUCGAGCGCCCCGCAAGGGGAGCGGCAGACGGGUGAGUAACGCGUGGGAAUCUACCGUACCCUACGGAAUAGCUCCGGGAAACUGGAAUUAAUACCGUAUACGCCCUUCGGGGAAAGAUUUAUCGGGUAUGAUGAGCCCGCGUUGGAUUAGCUAGUUGGUGUGGUAA
rnacentral:rRNA from 1 species